rnacentral:rRNA from 1 species
ACGCUCGACACCUACGGGAGGAGCAGUGGGGGAUAUUGCACAAUGGAGGAAACUCUGAUGCAGCGACGCCGCGUGAGGGAAGAAGGUUUUCGGAUUGUAAACCUCUGUCUUCGGUGACGAAAAUGACGGUAGCCGAGGAGGAAGCCACGGCUAACUACGUGCCUGCAGCCGCGGUAAUCUGAGCGGGCUGGCAAGGC